rnacentral:rRNA from 1 species
UACGGGGGGGGCAAGCGUUGUUCGGAAUUACUGGGCGUAAAGGGCUCGUAGGCGGCCAACUAAGUCAGACGUGAAAUCCCUAGGCUCAACCUAGGAACUGCGUCUGAUACUGGAUGGCUUGAAUCCGGGAGAGGGAUGCAGAAUUCCAGGUGUAGCGGUGAAAUGCGUAGAUAUCUGGAGGAACACCGAUGGCGAAGGCAGCUCGCUGGGACGGUACUGACGCUGAGGCGCGAAAGCGUGGGGAGCGAACAGG